rnacentral:RNase_P_RNA from 1 species
ACGGAGUGGGAUGCAAUCGCUGCUUAAGGAGUACUGCUUCUUAAGGAGAGGAAAGUCCGGACUUCAGAGAAAAAGGUGCCAGCGAAAGGCUGGGGGCCGUAAGGCCACGGAAAGUGCAACAGAAAAUAUUCCGCUAGUGCCUAGUGUCUAAGUCCCAAAAAUCCUUUAAAGGAUUUUUGGGACUAGACACUGGGCGUUAGACAGGGUGAAAUGCUAGGUUUAGGACCUAGCCCUCCCUCCGCAAGGAGGGAGCGACUGCAAACCCCACUUGAAGCAAGAAAAGAGAACGCCAUGUUUUUCGCAAGCGAUGCUCUUUCACAGUCGCUCGAGGAUCUUAGCAAUAAGGUCCCUAGAUGAAUGAUUGCAACCUGCAGCAUGCAGAGGACAGAAUCCGGCUUACUCCCCCUCCGGGAAU